rnacentral:rRNA from 1 species
AGAGUUUGAUCCUGGCUCAGAUUAAACGCUGGCGGCAUGCCUUACACAUGCAAGUCGAACGGCAACGCAGGCUUCGGCCUGGCGGCGAGUGGCGAACGGGUGAGUAACACAUCGGAACGUAUCUUAGAGUGGGGGAUAGCCCGGCGAAAGCCGAAUUAAUACCGCAUACACUCCAAAGAGGAAAGCGGGGGACCCUAUGGGCCUCGCGCUCAAAGAGCGGCCGAUGCCAGAUUAGCUAGUUGGUAAGGUAAAAGCUUACCAAGGCAACGAUCUGUAGCUGGUCUGAGAGGACGGUCAGCCACACUGGGACUGAGACACGGCCCAGACUCCUACGGGAGGCAGCAGUGGGGAAUUUUGGACAAUGGGGGAAACCCUGAUCCAGCAAUGCCGCGUGUGUGAAGAAGGCCUUCGGGUUGUAAAGCACUUUUGUUCGGAAAGAAAGCAGUCUAGUUAAUACCUAGACUGGAUGACGGUACCGGAAGAAUAAGCACCGGCUAACUACGUGCCAGCAGCCGCGGUAAUACGUAGGGUGCAAGCGUUAAUCGGAAUUACUGGGCGUAAAGCGUGCGCAGGUGGUUUGCUAAGACCGAUGUGAAAUCCCCGGGCUCAACCCGGGAACUGCAUUGGUGACUGGCAGUCUAGAGUAUGGCAGAGGGAGGUAGAAUUCCACGUGUAGCAGUGAAAUGCGUAGAGAUGUGGAGGAAUACCAAUGGCGAAGGCAGCCUCCUGGGUCAAUACUGACGCUCAUGCACGAAAGCGUGGGGAGCAAACAGGAUUAGAUACCCUGGUAGUCCACGCCCUAAACGAUGUCAACUAGUUGUUGGGGAUUUAUUUCCUUAGUAACGUAGCUAACGCGUGAAGUUGACCGCCUGGGGAGUACGGUCGCAAGAUUAAAACUCAAAGGAAUUGACGGGGACCCGCACAAGCGGUGGAUGAUGUGGAUUAAUUCGAUGCAACGCGAAAAACCUUACCUACCCUUGACAUGGUCGAAACUCUACUGAGAAGUAGAGGUGCUCGAAAGAGAAUCGACGCACAGGUGCUGCAUGGCUGUCGUCAGCUCGUGUCGUGAGAUGUUGGGUUAAGUCCCGCAACGAGCGCAACCCUUGUCCCUAGUUGCUACGCAAGAGCACUUUAGGGAAACUGCCGGUGACAAACCGGAGGAAGGUGGGGAUGACGUCAAGUCCUCAUGGCCCUUAUGGGUAGGGCUUCACACGUCAUACAAUGGUCGGAACAGAGGGUUGCCAACCCGUGAGGGGGAGCUAAUCCCAAAAAACCGAUCGUAGUCCGGAUUGUAGUCUGCAACUCGACUACAUGAAGCUGGAAUCGCUAGUAAUCGCGGAUCAGCAUGUCGCGGUGAAUACGUUCCCGGGUCUUGUACACACCGCCCGUCACACCAUGGGAGUGGGUUUUACCAGAAGUGGCUAGUCUAACCGAAAGGAAGACGGUUACCACGGUAGGAUUCAUGACUGGGGUGAAGUCGUAACAAGGUAGCCGUAUCGGAAGGUGCGGCUGGAUCACCU